rnacentral:rRNA from 1 species
AGCAGCCGCGGUAAUUCCAGCUCCAAUAGCGUAUAUUAAAGUUGCUGCAGUUAAAAAGCUCGUAGUUGAAUUUCGGGACUAAUAUGUCGGUCGUGCCUCGGUACGUACUGGCUUAUUGGUUUCUCCUUUCUGAAGAACCAUGAUGUCAUUUAUUUGGUGUCGUGGGGAAUCAGGACUGUUACUUUGAAAAAUUAGAGUGUUUAAAGCAGGCUUUAGCUUGAAUACAUUAGCAUGGAAUAAUGAAAUAGGACGUUCGAACCUAUUUUGUUGGUUUCUAGGAUCAACGUAAUGAUUAAUAGGGAUAGUUGGGGCAUUAGUAUUCAAUUGUCAGAGGUGAAAUUCUUGG